rnacentral:rRNA from 1 species
AGAGUUUGAUCCUGGCUCAGAUUGAACGCUGGCGGCAUGCUUUACACAUGCAAGUCGAACGGUAACAGGGAGCUUGCUCCGCUGACGAGUGGCGAACGGGUGAGUAAUGCAUCGGAACGUGCCUAUUUGUGGGGGAUAACGUAGCGAAAGUUACGCUAAUACCGCAUACGCCCUGAGGGGGAAAGCGGGGGAUUCGUAAGAACCUCGCGCAAUUAGAGCGGCCGAUGUCGGAUUAGCUAGUUGGUGGGGUAAAGGCUCACCAAGGCGACGAUCCGUAGCGGGUCUGAGAGGAUGAUCCGCCACACUGGGACUGAGACACGGCCCAGACUCCUACGGGAGGCAGCAGUGGGGAAUUUUGGACAAUGGGCGAAAGCCUGAUCCAGCCAUGCCGCGUGAGUGAAGAAGGCC